rfam:Brassica rapa chromosome A7, whole genome shotgun sequence.
GGGUGCGAUCAUACCAGCACUAAUGCACCGGAUCCCAUCAGAACUCCGCAGUUAAGCGUGCUUGGGCGAGAGUAGUACCAGGAAGGGUGACCUCACGGGAAGUCCUCGUGUUGCACCCC